rnacentral:rRNA from 1 species
UACGUAGGGUGCAAGCGUUAAUCGGAAUUACUGGGCGUAAAGCGUGCGCAGGCGGCGCGUUAAGACAGGUGUGAAAGCCCCGAGCUUAACUUGGGAAUUUGCGCUUGUGACUGGCGUGCUGGAGUGUGGCAGAGGGAGGUGGAAUUCCACGUGUAGCAGUGAAAUGCGUAGAGAUGUGGAGGAACACCGAUGGCGAAGGCAGCCUCCUGGGCCAGCACUGACGCUCAUGCACGAAAGCGUGGGGAGCAAACAGG